rnacentral:rRNA from 1 species
UGAGAGAGAAGCCCGGAGAUGGGUACUGAGACNNGGACCCAGGCCCUAUGGGGCGCAGCAGGCGAGAAAACUUUGCAAUGUGCGAAAGCACGACAAGGUUAAUCCGAGUGAUUUCUGCUAAAGGAAUCUUUUGUUAGUUCUAAAUAUACUAGUGAAUAAGGGGUGGGCAAGUUCUGGUGUCAGCCGCCGCGGUAAAACCAGCACCUCAAGUGGUCAGGAGGANUAUUGGGCCUAAAGCAUCCGUAGCCUGUUCUAUAAGUUUGCGGUUAAAUCUAUGCGCUCAACGUAUAGGCUGCCGUAAAUACUGUAGAACUAGGGAGUGGGAGAGGUAGACGGUACUCGAUAGGAAGGGGUAAAAUCCUUUGAUCUAUUGAUGACCACCUGUGGCGAAGGCGGUCUACCAGAACACGUUCGACGGUGAGGGAUGAAAGCUGGGGGAGCAAACCGGAUUAGAUACCCGGGUAGUCCCAGCUGUAAACGAUGCAGACUCGAUGAUGCAAUGGCAUAGAGCUAUUGCAGUAUCGCAGGGAAGCCGUUAAGUCUGCCGCCUGGGAAGUACGUACGCAAGUAUGAAACUUAAAGGAAUUGGCGGGGGAGCACCACAAGGGGUGAAGCCUGCGGUUCAAUUGGAGUCAACGCCAGAAAUCUUACCCGGAGAGACAGCAGAAUGAAGGUCAGGCUGAAGACCUUACCAGACAAGCUGAGAGGUGGUGCAUGGCCGUCGUCAGCUCGUGCCGUGAGAUGUCCUGUUAAGUCAGGUAACGAGCGAGAUCCCUGCCACUAGUUGCUAUUAUUAUUCUCAGGAGUAGUGGGGCGAAUUAGUGGGACCGCCACAGUUAAUGUGGAGGAAGGAAGGGGCCACGGCAGGUCAGUAUGCCCCGAAACUCUGGGGCCACACGCGGGCUGCAAUGGUAGUGACAAUAGGCUCCUAACUCGAAAGAGAGAGGCAAUCCAAAAACACUACCACAGUUAUGACUGAGGGCUGUAACUCGCCCUCACGAAUAUGGAAUCCCUAGUAACUGCGUGUCAUUACCGCGCGGUGAAUACGUCCCUGCUCCUUGCACACACCGCCCGUCGUUUCAUCGAAGUUUGCUUUUAGUGAGGUGAUGUUUUAUUGGNAUUAUCGAAC